UGACGUCGGCGCUGGCGGAUCGAGCUGCAGGCACGGAGAAAGAUGGCUUAGGCUCAAACUGCCACCACUCCAUGACUCACAGCGCCAGUUAGAGAAACACCCAUCAAGGAGGUGUGAUGGCCAUGGCAGACUUCAAUCUUUAGCAGAAGAUGCAGAUGAAACCAUCUCUCCAACUCAACACUUGGACCCAACCCACGUAAGUUUUCUGAACAAAAUAAGGAACAAAAAUGCAGGUGGGAGAUGAAUCUCCACAAAAUCAAAAUGUGUCAUUUGAACUGGCACAGUGGUGUAUGGUAUGCCUGGGAUCGCUGAGGAAGUAAGUGGUAGGGCACUGAGCUGGACGCCUUACUCCACCCUCAGUGGGUGUGGCAGAUCCUAAACACAAGACAAUGAAGGGCCUUUCUGGUUGGAAAGGGGGGGGGUGUGUGAAUUAAUAAACAGUGCUAGAAGUAUUUCAAUGUUUGUCUCUGCAUACACAGAAGUUAUACACAUUAUCUUACAUCCCCAGGAGUGUUGUCGGUGCCACUAUGUACGUAUAGUUAGGACACACAGGCAAAGUUACCUAUGGGCUUACUUGGGUGACACUGUGCACGUGUGUGUGUGUGUGUGUGUGUGUGUGAGUGUGAAGAUCCUAUUUGGGGAAAUGCACACUUACCUAAGGAUAUCUGGUCAACCCUGAGCUUAAAUGAAGAGGAGUUAGGUGGAGGCAACCAAGGUGGUAGAAGUGGCCCAAAUCCUUUGGAGCAUGGAGGACCAAGACGAAGGAGGGCAAAGUGAAAUAGGAGUUUGGCCAGUGUUCUGCUGGGACAUGUCACCCACCUAGGCCAGGGUCCGAGGCAAAGUGGGCUUCUGGGCUCCCGUCACAGCUUCAGCUUGGGUGGCAGCGGUGAGCCUGAGCAGGCCCUGCCCAGGACAGGCAGGGAUAAGCCAUGAGAGAGGCUCCAUGGCCACUGUCCUUAGUUCUCAUGCACAGGUUGUCUCGGGUAGGGCAGCGUGGGCCUAGCCUAGGCAACAGUUGGUUCACAAAGAAAUGUCAGGGAGACACCAGCAUUAAAAAAGAGAGAUGUGUUUAUUCCAUGAUCAGUACAGACCAAAUGCAUAUUCACCGUAUGAAAGUCAAACCAGUCAGUGACUCCAGAGUUUGGCCAACACUGAGGCACCAGCGUUGUGGUGUAGAGUGGGUUCUCAUGGCACACGUAACCUCACCAAGGGCUCCAAUUAUAAAAUUAAAAAAAAAAAAAAGUGUGGGAAGCAGCAGCCAGCUGGGACUGGGUGCUGGGUGGGGGGAGGGCCUCUGUUUCAGUCUUCAGCACCCCCAAUCAAUACCUGGGGUCUACCUGUCCCUAGGCAUUCCCUUUCUUGGUAAAAAACUUAACAGAUUUAACAUUAAAAAACAAAAGCCAACAAAUGGGCACUGAGGGAAAGGAAAAGAAGUUGUAGCUUUCUGGAUUUAUAAUUAAAAAUAGACUAAUGAAGUUGCAAUGUAAGUAUAAGUAGGGAUAUUUGUUUUGAUUUUUUUGUGGAUUAAAAAAAAAAAUCUCUUUUACACCAGUUUGGUGGAGUCACCAACAAAUUUUAAAGUUGCCAACUAUGUUCACUAUACAGUACAGCCACGGUCACACACUACCCACAGCGCGGUGGGAGCCGCCGCUCCAUGAGGAGACGAUCACACCUUUUCGGAAAUAAGCAGUGCCAUUGUGUCUGGAGGAGAAGAGAGAAUUAAAAAUAAAAUAGAAUUCAACAACAAAAUAUAUAUAU